UACGAAGGGGGCUAGCGUUGUUCGGAUUAACUGGGCGUAAAGCGCACGUAGGUGGUGCGUCAAGUUCGGCGUGAAAUCUCCAGGCUCAACUUGGAGGGGUCGUCGAAGACUGGCGAACUAGGGUCUGGCAGAGGCCGGUAGAAUUCCCGGUGGAGCGGUGAAAUGCGCAGAUAUCAGGAGGAACACCGGUGGCGAAGGCGGGUCUCCGGGCCGAUACUGACGCUGAGGAGCGAAAGCGUGGGGAGCGAACAGG
rnacentral:rRNA from 1 species